rnacentral:lncRNA from 1 species
UGAAAAAUAUUUUUACCCUGUUGAAACAACUUUUAUAAAUGCAGGGGAGGGGGAAAAAUUAAAAGCAAAAUACCCAGAGUUAGUAAGCAAAACUGCAAAAUCGGUAUGCAUGUCCUAUGGUGGAACCCUUUUAUGCCAAGGGUUGGCCUAGUAUGAAAAAUGCAAUCCUCUGGAGUAGGCACCAUACAAUACCUGAUGGAUCCGAUCGACUUAUUGAGAUUCAAUGAAAAGACAUUUUUGAAAAAACUGAAUAAUUGAAGUGACAAGAGACAAUUUGUCCUAACAAAAUGAGGACAAAGUCCGAAUGGAUUGAUUGCUUUGAUUGACACAUAAAAUGAUAUCAAAAUCAAUUUAGUGUGUAAAACUUACUUUUGAAAGGAUUGAAAUGUCUCGACUAGUUUCUUCGGUGAACCAUAGAUCGAAACUUUAAAAGAGAAUAAAUAGGUUAAAUGAAUCGAAUGAAAUUGAUGGUUAGUUCAAAAAUUGACUGAAUUAUCCUGAAAGUGAAUAAAACUGAUCCAAUGGAUUGGAUGAAAUUGAAAAUUUAUUCAAAAAAAAUAAAAUAAAAAUAAAUAAAUAAAAUUGAUUAAAUGAAUAAUGAAUUGAAUGGAAUUGAUGAUUAAUUC